rnacentral:tRNA from 13 species
CCUUUUGUCUAGGGGUUAAGAUGUUCGGCUCAGAACCCAAAGGUUCCCGGUUCUAUCCCGCCGCGAAAGUG